GACGAACGCUGGCGGCGUGCCUAAUACAUGCAAGUUGAGCGAUGAAGAUUGGUGCUUGCACCAAUUUGAAGAGCAGCGAACGGGUGAGUAACGCGUGGGGAAUCUGCCUUUGAGCGGGGGACAACAUUUAGAAACGAAUGCUAAUACCGCAUAACAACUUUAAACAUAAGUUUUAAGUUUGAAAGAUGCAAUUGCAUCACUCAAAGAUGAUCCCGCGUUGUAUUAGCUAGUUGGUGAGGUAAAGGCUCACCAAGGCGAUGAUACAUAGCCGACCUGAGAGGGUGAUCGGCCACAUUGGGACUGAGACACGGCCCAAACUCCUACGGGAGGCAGCAGUAGGGAAUCUUCGGCAAUGGACGAAAGUCUGACCGAGCAACGCCGCGUGAGUGAAGAAGGUUUUCGGAUCGUAAAACUCUGUUGGUAGAGAAGAACGUGGGUGAGAGUGGAAAGCUCAUCAAGUGACGGUAACUACCCAGAAAGGGACGGCUAACUACGUG
rnacentral:rRNA from 1 species